UACGUAGGGGCCUAGCGUUGUCCGGAUUUAUUGGGCGUAAAGAGCUCGUAGGCGGUUCGGCAAGUCAGCUGUGAAAUCUCCACGCUUAACGUGGAGGGGUCAGCUGAUACUGCCGUGACUUGAGUCCGGUAGGAGAGUGUGGAAUUCCCGGUGUAGCGGUGAAAUGCGUAGAUAUCUGGAGGAACACCGGUGGCGAAGGCGGCAUCCUGGACCAACACUGACGCUGAGUGAGCGAAAGCCAGGGGAGCAAACGGG
rnacentral:rRNA from 1 species